UACAGAGACUGCAAGCGUUAUUCGGAAUCACUGGGCUUAAAGGGCGCGUAGGCGGGUGCUCAAGUCCGGGGUGAAAUCCUCCAGCUCAACUGGAGAACUGCCUCGGAUACUGGGCGUCUCGAGUGUGGUAGGGGUAUGCGGAACUAUCGGUGGAGCGGUGAAAUGCGUUGAUAUCGAUAGGAACUCCGGUGGCGAAGGCGGCAUACUGGACCACCACUGACGCUGAUGCGCGAAAGCCAGGGGAGCAAACGGG
rnacentral:rRNA from 1 species